rnacentral:lncRNA from 1 species
AAAAAAAUGUUCAAUAAAUUAAAAAUAAAACCCAAACAUAAACAAGUCCAAAGAUUUUGUUAAUAGUCCAUAACCCAAAUUAAAACCCAACAAGCCCCAAAACAAAAAACAAACCCUAACCCAAAAGAAAUACAACUUUCAGAAACCCUAGCCCCCUAAACUUCAACCGUCGCACAUCAGCAGGCCGCUUCGUGUGCCGCUCCUCCACGCGCGUCUGACACCGCUAUCUGCAAAUCAAAGCCAACACGCAAACAAAAGAGGACAAUCAAUAGAAACAAAUAGAAAAAGACAAAAAAAAAUAGAGGCAAAAAGUUUGUAACUUGGCUAUUAAAGUCGAAAUAUUUUCCUUGUAAGUUUUUUACGCACAUCAAUAAAUCAAAACGUAGAAGAGAAAUUUAAAAAGGUUGUUGUUUUGAUCUUUUUGUUUCUUUUAUUUUCUUGUUUCAUUUGUUUUUUUUUUCUUUUUUACAAAUUUAUUUUGAGUAUAAAAAGCGAAAAAAUAAAAAAGGAAAAGGGGAGUAGAAGCUUACCCGAAUUUGAUUUUGGCAUGGCUCCGACCACCGUCCACGGUGGAGCCAAGGCUUUUCGGCGAUGGUGCGAUGAUGGGUCUCAAAACCCUAACAGAGAAAAGAAGAAAAGAGGGGGGUGCAGAUUUUUUUUUAAA